GACGAACGCUGGCGGCGUGCCUAAUACAUGCAAGUAGAACGCUGAAGGAGGAGCUUGCUUCUCCGGAUGAGUUGCGAACGGGUGAGUAACGCGUAGGUAACCUGCCUGGUAGCGGGGGAUAACUAUUGGAAACGAUAGCUAAUACCGCAUAAGAGUAGAUGUCGCAUGACAUUUGCUUAAAAGGUGCAACUGCACCACUACCAGAUGGACCUGCGUUGUAUUAGCUAGUUGGUGAGGUAACGGCUCACCAAGGCAACGAUACAUAGCCGACCUGAGAGGGUGAUCGGCCACACUGGGACUGAGACACGGCCCAGACUCCUACGGGAGGCAGCAGUAGGGAAUCUUCGGCAAUGGACGGAAGUCUGACCGAGCAACGCCGCGUGAGUGAAGAAGGUUUUCGGAUCGUAAAGCUCGGUUGUAAGAGAAGAACGAGUGUGAGAGUGGAAAGUUCACACUGUGACGGUAUCUUACUAGAAAGGGACGGCUAACUACGUG
rnacentral:rRNA from 1 species